GGUUAAGCGACUAAGCGUACACGGUGGAUGCCCUGGCAGUCAGAGGCGAUGAAGGACGUGCUAAUCUGCGAUAAGCGUCGGUAAGGUGAUAUGAACCGUUAUAACCGGCGAUUUCCGAAUGGGGAAACCCAGUGUGUUUCGACACACUAUCAUUAACUGAAUCCAUAGGUUAAUGAGGCGAACCGGGGGAACUGAAACAUCUAAGUACCCCGAGGAAAAGAAAUCAACCGAGAUUCCCCCAGUAGCGGCGAGCGAACGGGGAGNNNNNNNNNNNNUGUGAGCUCGAUGAGUAGGGCGGGACACGUGGUAUCCUGUCUGAAUAUGGGGGGACCAUCCUCCAAGGCUAAAUACUCCUGACUGACCGAUAGUGAACCAGUACCGUGAGGGAAAGGCGAAAAGAACCCCGGCGAGGGGAGUGAAAAAGAACCUGAAACCGUGUACGUACAAGCAGUGGGAGCACGCUUAGGCGUGUGACUGCGUACCUUUUGUAUAAUGGGUCAGCGACUUAUAUUCUGUAGCAAGGUUAACCGAAUAGGGGAGCCGAAGGGAAACCGAGUCUUAACUGGGCGUUAAGUUGCAGGGUAUAGACCCGAAACCCGGUGAUCUAGCCAUGGGCAGGUUGAAGGUUGGGUAACACUAACUGGAGGACCGAACCGACUAAUGUUGAAAAAUUAGCGGAUGACUUGUGGCUGGGGGUGAAAGGCCAAUCAAACCGGGAGAUAGCUGGUUCUCCCCGAAAGCUAUUUAGGUAGCGCCUCGUGAAUUCAUCUCCGGGGGUAGAGCACUGUUUCGGCAAGGGGGUCAUCCCGACUUACCAACCCGAUGCAAACUGCGAAUACCGGAGAAUGUUAUCACGGGAGACACACGGCGGGUGCUAACGUCCGUCGUGAAGAGGGAAACAACCCAGACCGCCAGCUAAGGUCCCAAAGUCAUGGUUAAGUGGGAAACGAUGUGGGAAGGCCCAGACAGCCAGGAUGUUGGCUUAGAAGCAGCCAUCAUUUAAAGAAAGCGUAAUAGCUCACUGGUCGAGUCGGCCUGCGCGGAAGAUGUAACGGGGCUAAACCAUGCACCGAAGCUGCGGCAGCGACNNNNNNAUGCUGGAGGUAUCAGAAGUGCGAAUGCUGACAUAAGUAACGAUAAAGCGGGUGAAAAGCCCGCUCGCCGGAAGACCAAGGGUUCCUGUCCAACGUUAAUCGGGGCAGGGUGAGUCGACCCCUAAGGCGAGGCCGAAAGGCGUAGUCGAUGGGAAACAGGUUAAUAUUCCUGUACUUGGUGUUACUGCGAAGGGGGGACGGAGAAGGCUAUGUUGGCCGGGCGACGGUUGUCCCGGUUUAAGCGUGUAGGCUGGUUUUCCAGGCAAAUCCGGAAAAUCAAGGCUGAGGCGUGAUGACGAGGCACUACGGUGCUGAAGCAACAAAUGCCCUGCUUCCAGGAAAAGCCUCUAAGCAUCAGGUAACAUCAAAUCGUACCCCAAACCGACACAGGUGGUCAGGUAGAGAAUACCAAGGCGCUUGAGAGAACUCGGGUGAAGGAACUAGGCAAAAUGGUGCCGUAACUUCGGGAGAAGGCACGCUGAUAUGUAGGUGAAGCGACUUGCUCGUGGAGCUGAAAUCAGUCGAAGAUACCAGCUGGCUGCAACUGUUUAUUAAAAACACAGCACUGUGCAAACACGAAAGUGGACGUAUACGGUGUGACGCCUGCCCGGUGCCGGAAGGUUAAUUGAUGGGGUUAGCGCAAGCGAAGCUCUUGAUCGAAGCCCCGGUAAACGGCGGCCGUAACUAUAACGGUCCUAAGGUAGCGAAAUUCCUUGUCGGGUAAGUUCCGACCUGCACGAAUGGCGUAAUGAUGGCCAGGCUGUCUCCACCCGAGACUCAGUGAAAUUGAACUCGCUGUGAAGAUGCAGUGUACCCGCGGCAAGACGGAAAGACCCCGUGAACCUUUACUAUAGCUUGACACUGAACAUUGAGCCUUGAUGUGUAGGAUAGGUGGGAGGCUUUGAAGUGUGGACGCCAGUCUGCAUGGAGCCGACCUUGAAAUACCACCCUUUAAUGUUUGAUGUUCUAACGUUGACCCGUAAUCCGGGUUGCGGACAGUGUCUGGUGGGUAGUUUGACUGGGGCGGUCUCCUCCUAAAGAGUAACGGAGGAGCACGAAGGUUGGCUAAUCCUGGUCGGACAUCAGGAGGUUAGUGCAAUGGCAUAAGCCAGCUUGACUGCGAGCGUGACGGCGCGAGCAGGUGCGAAAGCAGGUCAUAGUGAUCCGGUGGUUCUGAAUGGAAGGGCCAUCGCUCAACGGAUAAAAGGUACUCCGGGGAUAACAGGCUGAUACCGCCCAAGAGUUCAUAUCGACGGCGGUGUUUGGCACCUCGAUGUCGGCUCAUCACAUCCUGGGGCUGAAGUAGGUCCCAAGGGUAUGGCUGUUCGCCAUUUAAAGUGGUACGCGAGCUGGGUUUAGAACGUCGUGAGACAGUUCGGUCCCUAUCUGCCGUGGGCGCUGGAGAACUGAGGGGGGCUGCUCCUAGUACGAGAGGACCGGAGUGGACGCAUCACUGGUGUUCGGGUUGUCAUGCCAAUGGCACUGCCCGGUAGCUAAAUGCGGAAGAGAUAAGUGCUGAAAGCAUCUAAGCACGAAACUUGCCCCGAGAUGAGUUCUCCCUGACNNNNNNNNNNNNNNNNNNNNNNNNNNNNNNNNNNNNNNNNNNNNNNNNNNNNNNNNNNNNNNNNNNNNNNNNNNNNNNNNNNNNNNNNNNNNNNNNNNNNAUCUGAGGCAGCACCUG
rnacentral:rRNA from 1 species